rnacentral:rRNA from 1 species
CCCCUAUCCUAUGUUGCCAGCGGAUAAUGCCGGGGACUCAUGGGAGACUGCCGGGGACAACUCGGAGGAAGGCGGGGACGACGUCAAGUCAUCAUGCCCCUUAUGUCCAGGGCUGCACGCAUGCUACAAUGGCAGGUACAACGGGCAGCGAUCCCGCGAGGGUGAGCGAAUCCUUUAAAGCCUGUCUCAGUUCGGAUCGGAGUCUGCAACUCGACUCCGUGAAGUCGGAGUCGCUAGUAAUCGCGAAUCAGCUAAGUCGCGGUGAAUACGUUCUCGGGCUUUGUACACACCGCCCGUCACAUCACGAAAGUUGGCAACACCCGAAGUCAGUGGCCCAACCGCAAGGAGGGAGCUGCCGAAGGUGGGGUCAGCGAUUGGGAUGAAGUCGUAACAAGGUA